AAUACUUUCAUUCACUCAUCCUCUCCCUCUCUCUAGCAGCCGCCUCUCAACUCUCCUCUCCAUUUUUUCCGGCGAAAAUUGCCACCACCUGCUGGUGGCAGCCGUUUCUCUCUCCCUCUCUUCGUUGCUCUCUUCUCCUUCCCUCUCCUCCCUUCUUCUCCAUCUCAUCUUUCUCAUUUCUCCUCCCUUCCGGCGAGAAACAGCAGCAGAAGCUGCCAGCAACACUGGCAGCAGCAGCAACCAGCAAGGGCAGCGCCGGCGUGGACAGCAGCUCCGACCAGCAACCAGCAGCGCCAGUAGCAGCUGCAACCAGCGAACUCCAGCAGCUCCAGACAGCAGCCAGGCGAACCACCUGAGUGAUGACGAAGACGACAACAACUCCAAGGCAGCUGCCGGCGAAACAGCAACAACAGUCCGACCAAGCGAGCUCCGGCGAAAUCCGAAAUUAGGAUCGGUGGAAGACGGAUCUCAACAGAUCCGUCUCGGUAUUUUCUUUCGAUCAAUUAUUACUUCAUCUAUUUAACCCUAUGUUGUUCCUACUUUUUAAAUUAUAUUUUUCAUAUGAUUGCUUUUAUGUGCUUGAUGCUUGAAUGAUAGGAAUUCGUUCCGUUGUAUGCAUAAACUUUUGGGUUGACAGCUUAUUGAACCUAUGCUGGUUCUGAACUCAAGUUCAAGAAUGAAAAGUCGCUUAAGGCGGGAUACCGGAUAGAACUUAUUUCUGUUUAAUAGUUUACUUUGGAUUAUAUUAUGUCGUUACUAUUUGCUUUUGUUCGGUUUGUAAUAUUUUGUAUAACUCUCUAAACUCUCCUAUAUAUGAAUAAUUUGGGGGAUCGUCUAAGGGGGAGGGGGAUAUACGUGCUAAUUGUUUUCUUUUCAUUUCUAGUCUAGUUUAUUUUUUGCUAUGUGUGAUUGCUAAAACAUGCCUACGUUGCUUAAAUCGUAAACCUUGCAAGCAUAUUAGAAUAUAUUUUAAUAUUGACCUAAAAUUAACCUUUGUUCAUAACCUUUUCAGAUUAAUCGACAUAUCAUGAAUAUAUGUUCAAAUUUGCUUGAUCUUGAACUCGUAGAAUCUUGUCAGACAUGCUAAUGUUGUUCAAAUUCGAAAUUUGGUUUAUACUACUUAGACAUCAUGCUUCUAGGACUUUAAUAUAAUUUGAGCAAAUCAGUUUGGUCAUGUUGCUAACAUGUUAACCUAUUUGGAAUUAAGUCACGAUUAAUGUCAUGCCAAUAAAAUGUCCAGAAAUACAUAAAUCAUGUUUGCCAUAAAGUUCCGCCUAAAGUGUUUAAUAAUCUGUCUAAAUGAAAUAGAUAUCAUGCCUAUAGGAUCUAAAUAAUUUUAGAAGUGCAGUAUGUAUGCAUAUAGAUGUAAAUUUUGUUACAUAUUAAUUAAAUAUCAUGCCUACAUGGUUAACAAUUUGUUUAAAUGAAAUGGAUAUUAUGCUUAUGGGUUUGACAAUAUUUUCAGCAUAUUCACACUUAGAAAUCACGCCUAUAGGACAUAAUUAACAAGUUGAGAUGUUAAUCAGCAUAUUAUUAAAUAAAAGGAGAGAAAUCCUGUUUCAUUUUAAAAAUUAUUAUCUACUGCCUAGAUUGAAUCUGGCUCAAACCAAUUAGAUUCUGCUCUGUUUAGGUACUGAAAAUCAGCUACUAAAAAGUCAUUUUUCUGCAUCUGCUACUUGCUAUCCCGAUUAAAUUUUGUUCAAACUAAUCUCUGCACUGUUUUGCCACUUAAAAUAAAUUAAAUCAGUUUCUGCAUAUUAAUCAAUGACAUUCUGCCACUGGCUCAUCUAAAGACUUUAAAUCUGCUACUGCUUAAACUAUUUCCCGCAUCCUAAUCAUUGUUAUGCCACUCUUUUAAAUCAUUAAAUCUUUUGCACUUGUAUCAAUUUUCCGCCCCUUUAAAAUUCAUAAAAUAAAUCGUUAUAAUUAUGUUGUCAAUACAUGUUUGUAUGCACACACACUUAGCAUGAUUCCUUUCACAUUACUUGUGUUUGUUAGCAUGUUUAAUAAAAUCUAGAGGCUAACAUGAGACUCUAUGUGCUAAAUGCUCGUCCAAAUUGUUUGACUUGGUGUCUAGAUGGGCCUAUUAUAUUUCUUUUUAGUCUAUACCCACCCUAAUAGUAGUCCAAUGCCUCUUGGACCUUAAGCGGGGACGAUAGGCACCUUGUAGAGACGUUAAGCAUGCGGUGGUAGGGUAGGGGUAGUCUAGGCCCUAUGGAUAUGAUGACAUCGACUCGGUCUAAAUGACAAACCUUGGUUUUGUCUGUCCCUACGAGAAGCCGACCGAAAUAAAGAAAAGUCGAGUACUGAUCCUAAAGUCCUUCAGCGUCUCCCUUUCCUUUUGUCCCUUUAUCUGUUUAUAAUUAUAUUUAUUUGGGGUAGUUUAAUUAAAAUAAAGUUGGUUUGCUUA